GGACUACCCGGGUAUCUAAUCCUGUUUGCUCCCCACGCUUUCGCGCCUCAGCGUCAGUCCAGGACCAGGUCGCCGCCUUCGCCACCGGUGUUCUUCCCAAUAUCUACGAAUUUCACCUCUACACUGGGAAUUCCACGACCCUCUUCCGAACUCCAGACAUAACGUAUCAAACGCAGCCCCCAGGUUGAGCCCAGGAAUUUCACGCCUGACUGUCACAUCCGCCUACGCGCCCUUUACGCCCAGUCAUUCCGAGCAACGCUAGCCCCCUUCGUAUUACCGCGGCUGCUGGCAC
rnacentral:rRNA from 1 species